CCAUGGGCCUCAAAUAAUGUGUGACUACCCCCUAAAUUUAAGCAU
rnacentral:rRNA from 1 species